UAAUUUGUACAAAUGAGAAAAGAGAAAAUCCGUAAAUUCGGCGGAGCUAACGGCAA
rnacentral:misc_RNA from 1 species